rnacentral:rRNA from 1 species
AGCGAACGCUGGCGGCAGGCCUAACACAUGCAAGUCGAACGAACUCUUCGGAGUUAGUGGCGGACGGGUGAGUAACACGUGGGAACGUGCCCUUUGGUACGGAAUAACUCAGGGAAACUUGAGCUAAUACCGUAUGUGCCCUUCGGGGGAAAGAUUUAUCGCCAUUGGAGCGGCCCGCGUCUGAUUAGCUAGUUGGUGAGGUAAAGGCUCACCAAGGCUACGAUCAGUAGCUGGUCUGAGAGGAUGAUCAGCCACAUUGGGACUGAGACACGGCCCAAACUCCUACGGGAGGCAGCAGUGGGGAAUCUUGCGCAAUGGGCGAAAGCCUGACGCAGCCAUGCCGCGUAAAUGAUGAAGGUCUUAGGAUUGUAAAAUUCUUUCACCGGGGACGAUAAUGACGGUACCCGGAGAAGAAGCCCCGGCUAACUUCGUGCCAGCCGCCGCGGUAA